AAGCCUAAAGGCGCAAUGAAAGUGAAGGUCGACCUUAGCGUCGAUCGAGGGAGGAUGGCUCGGGUUCGCUCGAGCCCGCACUCCCGGGGCGUCUCAUGGUCAUUUCGACCAGAGGCGCACCCAGAGCGUACACGUUGGGACCCGAAAGAUGGUGAACUAUGCCUGGUCAGGACGAAGUCAGGGGAAACCCUGAUGGAGGUCCGUAGCGAUUCUGACGUGCAAAUCGAUCGUCGGAACUGGGUAUAGGGGCGAAAGACUAAUCGAACCAUCUAGUAGCUGGUUCCCUCCGAAGUUUCCCUCAGGAUAGCUGGCACUCGCUCGAUAGCGAGUCUCAUCUGGUAAAGCGAAUGAUUAGAGGCCUUGGGGCCGAAACGACCUCAACCUAUUCUCAAACUUUAAAUGGGUGAGAUCUCUGGCUUGCUUGAACGUUGAAGCCAAGAGAUCGCGUCUCGUCUCAAUGGCGAGGCGCCUACGGAUCAGAGUGCCAAGUGGGCCAAUUUUGGUAAGCAGAACUGGCGCUGUGGGA
rnacentral:rRNA from 1 species